UAGGGCCUGUGGGGUUAGGGCCAGUGAGGUAGGGCCUGUGGGGGUAAGGUAGGGCCUGUGGGGUUAGGGCCAGUGAGGUAGGGCAUGUGAGGGUGAGGUAGGGCCUGUGGGGUUAGGCCCAGUGAGGUAGGUACUGUGGGGUUAGGCCCAGUGAGGUAGGGCUUGUGGGGGUGAGAUAGGGCCUGUGGGGUUAGGCCCAGUGAGGUAGGUACUUUGGGGUUAGGCCCAGUAAGGUAUGGCCUGUGGGGGUGAGGUAGGGCCAGUGGGGUAAGUGCCAGAUGGGUAAGGGCCAGUAGGGUUAUGGGCCAGUGGAGUUAGGACCAGUGGGAUUAUGGGCCAGUGGGGUUAUGGGCCAGUGGUGUUAUGACAAGUGGGAUUAUGGGCCAGUGGUGUUAUGACAAGUGGGAUUAUGGGCCAGUGGGAUUAUGGGCCAGUGGGGUUAUGGGCCAGUAGGGUUAUGGGCCAGUGGGGUUAUGGGCCAGUGGGGUUAGGACCAGUAGGGUUGUGGAGUACUGCUCCUUGAAGGCUCGGUGACCACGCCCUGGUCUGUGUGAAUGUUUUCUACCUUUUUAAGAGGAUAUUGAUGAGGGCUAUAGGCUACUGUGCUCUCUGUUAAAUCAUUCUGACCCUAGCUUUGUAUCUCAGGGGUAGGAUCAUGUUACAGGGAUAGUUAUCUAAUAGUUGGUUGCACCAGAUGUUUUAUGUAAUACCCUCUCUACCCAUGAGAGAGAAAUGAACAUCCCUCCCCAAAAAAGAAAGUACAAAACAGGCUGUGUUUUUAGUUAGUUGGUUUGUUGUGAUUGGCUGUGGCGGGGGUGGCUGGGGUGGGGGUGCGGUCUGAGACGCUCUCUCCUUGGGUUUACUCUUAUUGGUGGUGGUUGCUAGGACGGCAAGCUGCCCUCCAGAGCCAUCAGCGUGGUGAGUGAUUCAAUAUAUCCCAAAUGGGCACCCUAUCCCCUACAUAGUGCCCUGCGUUUGACCAGGGCUCACAGGAAUCUCGUCAAGAGUAGGGCACUAUAUAGGGAAAAGGGUUCUAUUUGAGACACAACCAGUGUGUCCCGAGGGAGCAAUGAUCUUCAGUGUAUAUAUAUACAGUGCAGUACAGGACACUCCGUACACACAGGGAGAGGGAGGGAGCAGGGAGCUGCGGUUCUGGUCGGGUUCAGACUGACACUGACUCGUCGUUGUCGUAGUAUGCUUGCCUCCUGAUGGGAAUGAGUCAGCAUGGCAGAUUUAACCAUAGAAAUGAAUACAGAAUCAUGGAGCUCAAUGGAUUGGAUUGGCACCAUUGGGUGUUGUACAAGAUAGGGCCAGAAGGCUCCGGUUUAUGAAGAGGCAGGCAUAAGGCUUGCUGCUGACAUUUCUGUGACUGGACGUUCGUUGAGUCACUUUUCUGAAGGGGUCAAGGGUGAAAUCUUUGCCUAAAUUCAGGCUGUUGUUUUGUAACUCUCUACAGACCAUUCCUGGG
rnacentral:lncRNA from 1 species